GACAACCAGGAUGUUGGCUUAGAAGCAGCCAUCAUUUAAAGAGUGCGUAAUAGCUCACUGGUCGAGUGACGCUGCGCCGAAAAUGUAUCGGGGCUAAACAAAUCACCGAAGCUGUGGAUUGAUACCUUUGGUAUCAGUGGUAGGAGAGCGUUCUAAGGGCGUUGAAGUCAGACCGGAAGGACUGGUGGAGCGCUUAGAAGUGAGAAUGCCGGUAUGAGUAGCGAAAGAUGGGUGAGAAUCCCAUCCACCGUAUGANGACAACCAGGAUGUUGGCUUAGAAGCAGCCAUCAUUUAAAGAGUGCGUAAUAGCUCACUGGUCGAGUGACGCUGCGCCGAAAAUGUAUCGGGGCUAAACAAAUCACCGAAGCUGUGGAUUGAUACCUAUGGUAUCAGUGGUAGGAGAGCGUUCUAAGGGCGUUGAAGUCAGACCGGAAGGACUGGUGGAGCGCUUAGAAGUGAGAAUGCCGGUAUGAGUAGCGAAAGAUGGGUGAGAAUCCCAUCCACCGUAUGA
rnacentral:rRNA from 1 species